CGCUGGCGGCGUGCUUAACACAUGCAAGUCGCACGAGAACGCUUCUGCUUGCAAAGGCUAGUAAAGUGGCGCACGGGUGAGUAACACGUGGGUAAUCUACCUUCGACUCGGGGAUAACAACGCGAAAGCGAUGCUAAUACCGGAUAAUAUCGUUUUUUUCUCGAAAUUAACGAUCAAAGGUGGCCUCUUCUUGAAAGCUACCGUUUGAAGAUGAGCCCGCGUCCCAUUAGCUUGUUGGUAGGGUAAUGGCCUACCAAGGCUUCGAUGGGUAGCUGGUCUGAGAGGAUGAUCAGCCACACUGGAACUGACACACGGUCCAGACUCCUACGGGAGGCAGCAGUGAGGAAUUUUGCGCAAUGGGGGAAACCCUGACGCAGCAACGCCGCGUGAGUGAUGAAUGGCUUUCGAGUCGUAAAGC
rnacentral:rRNA from 1 species